rnacentral:rRNA from 1 species
CAGCCGCCGCGGUAAUACCGGCGGCCCGAGUGGCGGUCACUAUUAUUGGGCUUAAAGCGUCCGGAGCCGGGUUGGGGAGUCCUCCGGGAAAUCUGGCCGCUUAACGGUCAGAAUGCCGGAGGAUACUCCCAGCCUAGGGAGCGGGAGAGGCCGAGGGUAUUCCCGGAGUAGGGGUGGAAUCCUAUAAUCCCGGGAGGACCACCUGUGGCGAAGGCGCUCGGCUGGAACGCGUCCGACGGUGAGGGACGAAGGCCAGGGGAGCAAACCGGAUUAGAUACCCGGGUAGUCCUGGCUGUAAACGAUGCGGACUUUGUGUCGGACAAGCUAUGAGCUUGUCCGGUGCCGGAGGGAAACCGUUAAGUCCGCCGCCUGGGGAGUACGGCCGCAAGGCUGAAACUUAAAGGAAUUGGCAGG